AACCUGAAUGUAAAACCUGAUGAGUUGGUUAAAGUCAAACAGUUUAAGUUUAUUCAAACAGUUAAUGACAGACAGUCAGUGAGUGUGUGUGUGUCCAACUCUUCCUCACAGGUUAGUUAAUGACAGACAGUCAGUGAGUGUGUCUGUGUCCAACUCUUCCUCACAGGUUAGUUAAUGACAGACAGUCAGUGAGUGUGUCUGUGUCCAACUCUUCCUCACAGGUUAGUUAAUGACAGACAGUCAGUGAGUGUGUGUGUGUCCAACUCUUCCUCACAGGUUAGUUAAUGACAGACAGUCAGUGAGUGUGUCUGUGUCCAACUCUUCCUCACAGGUUAGUUAAUGACAGACAGUCAGUGA